rnacentral:rRNA from 1 species
AGAGUUUGAUCAUGGCUCAGGAUAAACGCUGGCGGCGCACAUAAGACAUGCAAGUCGAACGGAAGUCGUUAUAAAAAGGAUUGAAGAUUUAUCUGAUUGAGAUUUUAUAACAAUGGCUUUAGUGGCGGACUGGUGAGUAACGCGUGAGCAACCUGCCUACUAGAGGGGAAUAACAGUGAGAAAUCAUUGCUAAUACCGCAUAUGCCAUGAACAUCACAUGAUGAAAAUGGGAAAAGAGUAAUCUGCUAGUAGAUGGGCUCGCGUCUGAUUAGAUAGUUGGUGGGGUAACGGCCUACCAAGUCAACGAUCAGUAGCCGGACUGAGAGGUUGAACGGCCACAUUGGGACUGAGAUACGGCCCAGACUCCUACGGGAGGCAGCAGUCGGGAAUAUUGCGCAAUGGAGGAAACUCUGACGCAGUGACGCCGCGUAUAGGAAGAAGGUUUUCGGAUUGUAAACUAUUGUCGUUAGGGAAGAUACAGACAGUACCUAAGGAGGAAGCUCCGGCUAACUACGUGCCAGCAGCCGCGGUAAUACGUA